AUACCCUGGUUGGCAUAACUGAUUCCCAUAUUUGCCCAUGCUCGAACAUAGUUGGGCUUCAAAUCAAGUGCAUGUUGAUAAGCCAAUAUUGCAUCAGCACUCUGAACACUGUUGGCUUGUGUCGCACCAAGUUUGUUCCACAGGGAGUAAUCCUGUGGCUUGAGCUUCAAAGCCGUCUGGAAGGAAGCAAUGGCUUUGUCAUAUUCCCUGGAUAAAUUAUAUAGGACGCCAAGUACGAUGUGCACAUCAGCAUCCUCAGGUGAUAUCUGAGAAGCUUCGUUGAAUAAUCUAGCAACAUCAGCAUAAUAUAAUGAAUCAGCAAGCUCUGGAGUGGCAAGUGUUCCAUACUUUGGAUGAUUACGAAGCCAUCCAUACAGGUAUUUCAAGGCAGCUGCCUGCUCCAACUCAUUUGUAUGACUCACGCCAAGAGCAAGAAGCACUUCGAGAUUCAUGGGAUCAGCCUCCUGUGCACGCAUCAUUGCUGCAAUAGCCUGUUGAUCAUCAUCGUUCUCAGCAUGUGCUAUUCCAAGUAACCUCCAACCUUCAGCAUUAUCUGGGUUUUUCAAGACUUCAGCCUCUAAAGCAAGCAC
rnacentral:misc_RNA from 1 species